rnacentral:rRNA from 1 species
GACGAACGCUGGCGGCGUGCUUAACACAUGCAAGUCGAACGGAAAGGCCCUGCUUGCCGGGUACUCGAGUGGCGAACGGGUGAGUAACACGUGGGUGAUCUGCCCUGCACUUCGGGAUAAGCCUGGGAAACUGGGUCUAAUACCGGAUAGGAGCCAUUUUUAGUGUGAUGGUUGGAAAGUUUUUUCGGUGUAGGAUGAGCUCGCGGCCUAUCAGCUUGUUGGUGGGGUAAUGGCCUACCAAGGCGGCGACGGGUAGCCGGCCUGAGAGGGUGGACGGCCACAUUGGGACUGAGAUACGGCCCAGACUCCUACGGGAGGCAGCAGUGGGGAAUAUUGCACAAUGGGCGCAAGCCUGAUGCAGCGACGCCGCGGGGGGGAGGACGGCCUUCGGGUUGUAAACUCCUUUCGCUAGGGACGAAGCUUUUUGUGACGGUACCUAGAUAAGAAGCACCGGCUAACUACGUG